AGUAAUCAACGCUGGCGGCGUGCCUAACACAUGCAAGUCGCACGAGAAAGUGGAGCAAUCCAUGAGUAAAGUGGCGCACGGGUGAGUAACACGUGAAUCAUCUACCUCCGAGUGGGGAAUAACUGAGAGAAAUCUUGGCUAAUACCGCAUAAUACCCACGGGUCAAAGCAGCAAUGCGCUUGGAGAGGAGUUCGCGGCAGAUUAGCUAGUUGGCGGGGUAAUGGCCCACCAAGGCGAUGAUCUGUAUCCGGCCUGAGAGGGCGCACGGACACACUGGAACUGAAACACGGUCCAGACUCCUACGGGAGGCAGCAGUGGGGAAUUUUGCGCAAUGGGGGAAACCCUGACGCAGCAACGCCGCGUGGAGGAUGAAGCCCCUUGGGGUGUAAACUCCUUUCGAUCGGGAAGAUUAUGACGGUACCGAUAUAAGAAGCCCCGGCUAACUUCGUGCCAGCAGCCGCGGUAAUACGAGGGGGGCGAGCGUUGUUCGGAAUUAUUGGGCGUAAAGGGUGCGUAGGCGGUUUGGCAAGUCUUAUGUGAAAUCUAUGGGCUCAACCCAUAGCCUGCAUGAGAAACUGCCGGGCUUGAGUAUGGGAGAGGUGAGUGGAAUUUCCGGUGUAGCGGUGAAAUGCGUAGAUAUCGGAAGGAACACCUGUGGCGAAAGCGGCUCACUGGACCAUAACUGACGCUGAGGCACGAAAGCUAGGGGAGCAAACAGGAUUAGAUACCCUGGUAGUCCUAGCCCUAAACGAUGAUUGCUUGAUGUGGCAGUACCCAAUCCUGCUGUGUCGAAGCUAACGCGAUAAGCAAUCCGCCUGGGGGAGUACGGUCGCAAGGCUGAA
rnacentral:rRNA from 1 species